AUUGAACGCUGGCGGCAGGCCUAACACAUGCAAGUCGAGCGGAUGAAGGGAGCUUGCUCCUGGAUUCAGCGGCGGACGGGUGAGUAAUGCCUAGGAAUCUGCCUGGUAGUGGGGGAUAACGUCCGGAAACGGGCGCUAAUACCGCAUACGUCCUGAGGGAGAAAGUGGGGGAUCUUCGGACCUCACGCUAUCAGAUGAGCCUAGGUCGGAUUAGCUAGUUGGUGGGGUAAAGGCCUACCAAGGCGACGAUCCGUAACUGGUCUGAGAGGAUGAUCAGUCACACUGGAACUGGGACACGGUCCAGACUCCUACGGGAGGCAGCAGUGGGGAAUAUUGGACAAUGGGCGAAAGCCUGAUCCAGCCAUGCCACGUGUGUGAAGAAGGUCUUCGGAUUGUAAAGCACUUUAAGUUGGGAGGAAGGGCAGUAAGUUAAUACCUUGCUGUUUUGACGUUACCAACAGAAUAAGCACCGGCUAACUUCGUG
rnacentral:rRNA from 1 species